rnacentral:rRNA from 1 species
GACAGAGGGUGCAAACGUUGUUCGGAAUUACUGGGCGUAAAGCGUGUGUAGGCGGUCCUCUAAGUCGGAUGUGAAAUCCCUGGGCUCAACCCAGGAAGUGCACUCGAAACUGGAGGGCUAGAGUAUCGGAGAGGUUGGUGGAAUUCUCGGUGUAGAGGUGAAAUUCGUAGAUAUCGAGAGGAACACCGGUGGCGAAGGCGGCCAACUGGACGAAUACUGACGCUGAGACACGAAAGCCGUGGGGAGCAAACAGG